AUGUCCGACCAAACCGCCGCCGCCGCCGGAGCCGCGGGCGGCGACGCGCUGUUCUCGCGGUGCCUGCUCGCGCUCUACGUCAUCAGCCCGGUCACCGUGUUCCUGCUCCGCUUCGUCUCCGCGCCCUACGGCAAGCUCUCGCGCCCGGGGUGGGGCCCGGCCAUCCCGGCCGCGCUGGCCUGGUGCGCCAUGGAGAGCCCCACCCUCUGGCUCCCGCCCCUCGUCUCCCCCCUCCCGCUGCUGCUCGCCGCCCCGCUCGCCGCGCUCCCACCGGCGCUCUACGCGCUCCACUACGUCAACCGCACGGUCCUCCACCCGCUGCGCAUCCUGCGCCUGCGCCGCGCCGCGGCGCCCGUGCCCGUGCUCGUCGCCGCCUGCGCCUUCGGGUUCAACCUCCUCAACGCCUACGUGCAGGCCCGCUCCUGGGGGCUCCACGCCGGCCGCCCCGCCUCCGCGCUCGCGCUCGCCCGCUGCCUCGUCGGGCUCGCCCUGUUCGCGUGGGGGAUGCGGGUCAACGUCGCGGCGGACAAGGAGCUCCUGCGGCUCAAGGAGGCCGGGGGCGGGUACAAGAUCCCGCGCGGCGGCUGGUUCGACGCGGUGACCUGCCCCAACUACUUCGGCGAGAUCGUGGAGUGGCUCGGCUACUGCCUGGUGGCCUGGUCGCCGGCGGCCUGGGCCUUCUUCCUCUACACCUGCGCCAACCUCAUGCCGAGGGCCAGGGACCACCGCCAGUGGUACCUCAACAAGUUCGGCGGCGAGUACCCGGCGUCGCGCAAGGCGGUCAUCCCGUACAUCUACUAG
rnacentral:rRNA from 1 species